rnacentral:rRNA from 1 species
UACGUAGGGACCGAGCGUUGUCCGGAAUCAUUGGGCGUAAAGAGCGUGUAGGCGGCUCGCUAAGUCUUGCGUGAAAUCUCGGGGCUCAACCCCGAGCGGUCGUGAGAAACUGGCGGGCUAGAGUGCGGGAGAGGAGAGUGGAAUUCCCGGUGUAGUGGUGAAAUGCGUAGAUAUCGGGAGGAACCCCAGUGGCGAAGGGGACUUCCUGGCCUGUUCUUGACGCUGAGGCGCGAAAGCUAGGGGAGCAAACGGG